rnacentral:lncRNA from 1 species
AGAGAAUGGCUCUGAAUGCAAUGCAACAAACAGAGAAGCAUGGAAUGAUUCUUUUUAAGUCAAGGGUGUGUGAUUUCUUACCUUGCAACGUCAGCUCUUCUCUUGGCUUGCUCAGCAAUCUCACUGAGUUCUCUAUAACUACUCUUUUCAUUGAAAACAUUGGAAGAUUCUGGUGGUGGAAGUCCAUGCAAGGUUCUCUGAGCCAUUGCCCAUUGUGCUUCCCUCUCCUCUUUACCAUAGUCUUUCUUGGUGGUAAAUGCAGUCUGACAUACAUUUUGAAAUAACAAGUCAAUAUUUAUUCUCAAAAAUUGUAAACAUUCAUUAAAAAUGACGGCCUAAUGCACGAAGCUUCCAUUUAGUAUGGUCUGGGGAGGGUAUAUAUACGCAGUCUUACCUCCGCAAGCGAUGAAACUGUUUCCAGCCUUACCUCUUUACUAUUAACAUUCAUUAAAGGAACAACAAAUAAUAAUGAACAAAUACCUUGUUUUCUAUCAUGUUUACCCAAGCUUUGCCACUCAAUAUGUACCGGAUGGCAAACUUCAUUAAGUCAAGAGGAAAAUAAAAGAUAAUACUAUAGAGCCAGAUGACUCCUGCCCAACCCCAUCCAAUUCCUUUGACCUUUGCAAAGCCCCAAUCCGCAUAUACUGCUAUAAGUGUAGCAACCUACAAGUCCAUAAGCUCAAAAUAUUAUGAGUUGUAGAAAGAAAUGAUUAAUAAUUUGCACCAUAUUUCAGUUGCAUGACUACAACUCUUGUUGCUUAUCAAUUUAUCUGGUAAACUGUUGGGGCUCAUGUGGUUCAUGCCUGAUUAAUAGUAUUCUGGGCCGGAGCAAUGAACCUAUUUGAAGUGGCUCAUUUCGUACCCGAAAAGGAAUAAAUGGAACUUCAUACUUACCAGCUGAGCAAUAAGGAAAGCACCCAUUAAUAGCAAUCCAGGGCGUUCAACAAAGGACCAGCUUCGGGAACGGGUUACAAAUAUCAAAGCCUGGCUAACUAUACUGACUUGUAGAUACAAUGCAGACAUCAUUUCCUCAUGAGUCAGGUGCCUAACGUUAAAUUUUUCCUGCAACAAUAAUCAAGGGUAUUACAUAUUUUAUCCAAAACAACAAUUUGAAAUGUACAUGCUGGAAUAAUGGCAUGAGAGUUUAAUAUUUCUUACCGGGAAGAAAGAAUUUUCUCUCAUUGCCCAGAAAAAUAUGACAGUCAUCAAUGCCAAGUAACUUCCAAGAACAAUACCAGUAGCAAAUAUUUCUCUCAGUUUCCAGCUAUCAGGCAAGGGAGAUGGCUUCACUCUAUCCUUUGAGAUUGUCAUGAUUGUUCCUAAAAGUAUGACAGUUAUUUUGUCAGAUCUAUGUUGUCAAUCAUCAUAGGCAUACACAAAUUCAAGUCUAUUCCAGAAUUCAGAGUAAUAUUCUGCCAAGAGCUUUACCGUCGUUAAGAAUGGCAAUAAUCAAAACCAUAAAAGGAGAGAAAUCAAAUUUCCAGAUCAGUGCAAUGAGCAUGAAGCCAAGCUGCAUUUAGAAAUAAAGAGAAUCCAAACUGGUGAAUAUUCAUUGAUUCCUUGAUGUAAUGAUUUACAUAUAGUCAUAACUCAUAACAUUAGUAUCCACUUACCACUAUACGGAUAGUUAUAGAUACUGCAUAGAUCUGAAAUACAAACAAAACGAAGCAAAAUGUCUUAAUUUAGGGACAAGUAGAGUGAAGAAUUAUAUGUUUAUGAGGUACGAGCAACAAACCGUGUAGUUCUUCAUUCUUUGGAAAAUUGCCCUGCUAGUUAAGACUGCACUAAUAAUAACACUCAAUCCAGGUUCUGUCAAUACAAUAUCAGAAGCACCUCUUGCAGCAUCAGUAGCAUCAUCAACAGCAAUUCCAAUAUCAGCCUUCUUCAAAGCAGGAGCAUCAUUGACACCAUCUCCGGUCAUUCCACAAAUGUGUUUUCUCUCUUGCAACUUCUUUACAAUUUCAUAUUUGUGCUCUACAGGUAUAAAAAAGACGAUAAUAACAUAAAUAGUAACUCUAUCAUUUCAAAAAAACAUAAUAGGGAAAAUCGGCAGCACAAACUGGGAAAGAGUAUGAACCUGGAAAGACUCCAGCAAAUCCAUCUGCCUUCUCAAUCAGCUCUUCUAUUGGAAGCGCAACAACACUUGCAUCUUUGUCUUGACCAAGCAAGGACGAAGAUGGAUACAUAUUUGUUCCCAUCCCAAGUCUUCUGCCAGUCUCCUUGGCUAUGGCAAGUUGAUCGCCUAGAGAACAGAACAAAAGGCACGAUAUUGAUUUGAGCAUGUUUGACAAUAGAUAGUAAUUUACAGGAUAGGUAUUUUUUUUGCUUGGGGAAUAACUGAGUGAGAAUAGUUACCAGUAAUCAUCUUGACAUUUACACCAAGAUUAAGAGCUUUGCGAAUAGUUUCAGCACUGUCAUGUCUCGGGGGGUCAAAUAGUGGCAACAAGCCAACAAAUUGCCAUGGAGUACCAACACUUUCUUUUGUUUUCUCAGGAACUUCCUAUAGAAGUAGAACAGAAGAAUCAGAAGGGUAGUGUCAAAAAGAAAUGUAAAAGUUUCAACAGACUUCAAACAUGAAGAGAAGCUAUAAAACCUGUCUAGCAAUAGCCAAUGAACGCAACCCUCUCUCUGCAAACUUGUCAAUGAUAACAUGAGCCUUCUUUGCAACAUCUUCCCUGAGGUUACAUAGGGUAAUGAUCUGUUCCUCCAAAAAAAAUAUUAGCAUCCAGAGUGACAAUAAAAAUCACUAAUUCAGAUAGAACUGAAUCAUGAGCUUACCUGUUCGGGAGCACCUUUGCUUGCCCGGUGCCAAUUUCCAUCAGCAUCAAUGUAAGUCAAAGCAGUUCUUUUGUCAACAGGAUUGAAUGGAAAGAAGUGCACUUCUUUUAUCCCAGCCCUAGCCUGUGCAAAACACAAUUUGUUCAAUAUAACCUGUUUCAUAAACAAUUUUCAAAAAAAGAACUCGAUAAUAGAAAUUAGUAAAACUAAAAGAAGUCAAACCUCUUUUGGGUCAGCAAGCAUUCCAACAAUGGCACCAUCUAUGGCAUCCUGGUUUUCAGUCCUGGAAGCUCUUGCAGCAAGAAGCAUCACAUGUUCUUUGUCCACUCCCUUUGCAAAGACCUCAAUCAAGUUCUUGUCCACACUGAGCUUGUUAAGGGUGAGUGUCCCUGUCUUGUCACUGCAAAGGACAUCCAUACCAGCCAAUUCUUCAAUGGCAGUCAUUCGCUUGGUGAUAGCACCCUGCUGAGAGAGCCUGUGAGAACCAAUGGCCAUUGUCACAGACAACACAGUGGGCAUAGCAAUAGGAAUUCCUCCAAUCAAGAGGACCAAAAGGUUAUCGAUUCCAUCUCUAUACUUCCGGCGCUGAAUUGGGUACAUGACUAUGAUCUCAGCCAACAUACCGAUUGCAAUGGAACAAAUACAAAAGUUUCCAAUUGCUGUAAGCACUUUCUGGAAAUGUCCAACCUGGUUGGUACUAUCCACCAAGUGAGCAGCCUUCCCGAAAAAUGUAUGGACACCGGUUGCAAUGACAAUAGCUUCAAUUUCUCCCUGUUUACAAGUUGAGCCUGAGAAAACUUCAUCCCCGGGAUUUUUAGUCACAGGGAGUGACUCUCCCGUCAAAGCAGAUUGAUCAAUCUUCAAAGGAUCACCCUCAAGAAGACGAGCAUCAGCAGGAACAAUGUCCCCUAGUUUGAUGCUUAUGAUGUCUCCAGGGACUAGAAUUGCAGCCUCUUCCUCACUCCAUUUACCAUCUCUAAGAACCUGCAAGAAACAAAGUCAGUAUUGAACAGUCCUUAAAACAAGCUUAAACUUGUUAGUUCUAAUUCUAAUUGCUCGAGCAGUUCAAAUUUCAAAACCAACGCCUUUGAAGUUCAUAACCAUUACUUUCACGAAGACCUUUAAUUUUUUCUCAUUAACAGCUCAUCACUUUUGCUUAUCUUCAGUCAUAAUAGACAUGCACUCUAUUUAUAGGCCUCAUUAACCAAACAUAUCUUUGGAAUAAAAAGCAUCUGCAGUUAUAAAACAAAGAAACAAACUAUAAUUUAUUUACCUUUGUCUUGGGAGCAAGACCAGCCAUAAGAGCAGCAGCAGCAUUUCCAGCAUUGUUUUCUUCAAUGAAACUGAUGGUAGAGUUAAUCACCAACAAGCAAACGAUACCAACAAAAUCUUGCCAAUCAGGGGGCUUUCCAUCACCAUUUGCAAGAGCAAUUGCCAUAAUUGCUGCAGCUUCCAUGACCCAUGACAAGGGAUUCCACAUGAACCCAAGAAACUUUAGAAAUUUGCUUUCCUAUUUCAUCAUAAGUAUUACCAAUCAGUAGUUGUAUUAAGUUAUUUUAUCUUAAAGAUAUGUUAGACAAUGGAAUCAUAUAGAAGGGUGGGACCUUUUUCUCUUCUAGCUUGUUUGGUCCAAAUAUUACAAACCGAUUGGCUCCUUCGGUCGAAGACAAACCUUCUUUGGUGCAUUUCAAUUGCUCGAACACUUCAUCAAUAGGAAUACGUUCCUGAAAACAAGUGAUAUAACAAAACUGGAUUCAUUAACACAUUCCAAGAUACACUCACUCUAGCAUCUUCCACCUUAACGAAUAGUGCUGCAACUUGAAUCAUUUUUUAAAUCCCAUUUAGAAUUUUUUUUUUUCUUAUUUGGAAGAUUUGUGAGUGCAAGUGUAUCUAGCUUUAAUCUAUUUAUGUUUAUAUAUGAUUGAUGAUGUAAAUGAAUCAUAAAGAGCUUUCAUGUUCUUUGUUUUUGUCCCGGAUAUAGAUUACGGUAGAUCAAUUAGAUACAUAUAUUUGAGACCGCAUGGGCAAAAGAAAAUACUACACCACAAUAAUAUAAAACUUCAAAAGAAUAAACAUUUUAACAAAAAAAACAUAUUCUAAUAAAAAUUGACAAGAAAUUAAAUCAGGAAUAGCCAUAUUAAGGAAAUUACACUGACAAAUAUUGAUCAAACGAACAUUUUUAAGUUUCAAAAGAGGAUGCAAAUUUAUUUUAAAAAUCUUUAAGUUUCCACUUCAAGGUUGAUUUUGAUUACUACAAAUAGAUGUAUAAAAUAUAUCUACCCACUGAUCUCCCAAAAAUAUACAUAUAUAUAUAUAUANNNNNNNNNNNNNNNNNNNNNNNNNNNNNNNNNNNNNNNNNNNNNNNNNNNNNNNNNNNNNNNNNNNNNNNNNNNNNNNNNNNNNNNNNNNNNNNNNNNNUGACAUUACAGUAAUCAUAGUAAAAACAGUCACAUAAUUGUAUAAUGCAGGUAGGGGGGUCAAUUUUAUAAGGUUGAAUUAGGAAGGCGUGACGACUAAGGCCAGUGUUCAACGCCAUCUUCCUCACCCCGAAUUCAAUUUGGAUCAACUUAAUUUCAUGUUUAGUACCAAUGGCCUCUCCGAGACAGAUAUGAUUGCAUUAUCAGGUAAUUUUACUAGCACAAAUUUGAUUCAAUAUUGUACUACUUGAGAAAGAAUCCUAGUCAAAAAUCUGAGUCCUUUUAUUUUUUCUCAAGAAGCCUAAAACAUAACAUGUUUUAAUAUGUUAGGUGCACAUACAAUUGGAUUUUCUCACUGCAACCGCUUCUCGACUCGAAUUUACAACUUCAGCCCGAGAAAUAGGAUUGACCCAACAUUAAAUUUACAAUAUGCACUCCAACUUAGACAGAUGUGCCCUCUAAAAGUUGAUCCUAGAAUUGCCAUAAACAUGGACCCUGUGACCCCUCAAAAGUUUGAUAAUCAAUACUUCAAGAAUGUGGUUCAAGGAAGAGGUCUCUUCACUUCUGAUCAGGUGUUGUUUACUGAUGCAAGAUCAAAGGCAACAGUCAACUUAUUUGCAUCAAAUGAAGGAGCUUUUCAGAGUCUUUUAUUGCAGCUAUUACUAAGUUAGGAAGAGUAGGUGUUAAAACUGGAAAUCAAGGUGAAAUUAGGAUUGAUUGCACCAGGCCCAACUAGAAAAAUAGCAUAAAUCAUUGCUUUAUACACUUUUUAGUACAUUAUUUUACCAAGUCACAACUCAUACACUUUUGAAAAUAUAAUUUAAAAACAAAUAACCAUUAGAAGUUAUUUAAAAAAGCAUGUGUUAGAAAGAGUGUAUUGUAGACAUUAUGAAAGUAAGAUUAUCAUUCAUUUAUAUUACUUUUUUGAAAAAUCAAUAAUUAUUAAAAAUAAAUAGUGAAUGAUAAACUGACAAUAUAUAAAACUCUUACGCUAUUAGUGCAUAUAUUUUUCUCAAAAAUAAACUCAUUUUAUGAACAUAAUACAUAUAACGAUUUUAUUUUCAACUUUUUAUAAUCGAUUUAAUAUUAUAAAUUAACAUUUUUACAAAAUAAAAGUUUUACAUACUAAAAAUAAUAUUAUUUUUGAUAAAUUGGAAACUAAAAAUAUACUAUAUUGAAGCUUUGGUAUUCAAAGCACCUUGUAAGAACAUCCUAUACAAUAAAUUUGAGGUAGUUGCUAACCACCAUAACUUAUCAAUCACAAAGUGAUCAUAUGAAUUGUAGGCCACAGAACUAAGAAAAGGGAACUUUCAUUUCACUCAUGUAGUUUUGUUUUGUACAGUGAGCAGUGGUACCUCGUGCAAACUAUACUUGAUUAUAUAUUUAGUGGGAGUAAGAUUUAUUCAGAAUAUACACAGAAGGAAUGUGUCACUUGCUAUGCAUAAUAACAAAAGAAAAAACUUCCAUAUAAAAUCUUAUUUUCUCUCCUAAAAGAGUCCCAAUGUCGACAUUAUCUGAUGAUAGCCACCUUAAUAUUGUGACAUGCGAAUAAAAUAGAGAACAUAGAUUGAGGAAACAAAGCACAGAGGCCAUAACCAUAUGAAAAGGAAAGACUGAAAGUACAUUCUAUAGAUUUUGCAUUUUGAACUUCUGUAAUUUACAUAGUUCUUGACUUUGCUUGUAUUUGGGUUGGCACCCUUGUGCUUAUUUAAUACAUUCAUUUUUCAAAAAAAAACAUUCUAUAGAAAAAUUAGUAAAACGCAGACUAAGAGAGUUAUAUUACAGUCUUAACUCUCUCUACCUAAUAAGCAUUUAUAUAGCUAAGUCUUCUCCUUGUCUCUUCUUGUUUCAAGUAUGCCACUAAAUAUAUGAUUUUCUAUAUUUAGAUAGUUAAGUCCCUCUUUCUAUAUAUGAUUUUCUAGUGUUUUUCAGAGAGUGUAAUGCUGUUGGAUUGUAUCAAUGUCGAGACCUUUCAGCUUCACCACAGACUCAACAUGUCCCUUAAGUGUGUGAAGCUCACGAAGCCUGUAAGAAUAGUAGAAAAGAAAGAAAUUUCAUGUAUUAAUUCCAAUGAGAGAAUGGCUCUGAAUGCAAUGCAACAAACAGAGAAGCAUGGAAUGAUUCUUUUUAAGUCAAGGGUGUGUGAUUUCUUACCUUGCAACGUCAGCUCUUCUCUUGGCUUGCUCAGCAAUCUCACUGAGUUCUCUAUAACUACUCUUUUCAUUGAAAACAUUGGAAGAUUCUGGUGGUGGAAGUCCAUGCAAGGUUCUCUGAGCCAUUGCCCAUUGUGCUUCCCUCUCCUCUUUACCAUAGUCUUUCUUGGUGGUAAAUGCAGUCUGACAUACAUUUUGAAAUAACAAGUCAAUAUUUAUUCUCAAAAAUUGUAAACAUUCAUUAAAAAUGACGGCCUAAUGCACGAAGCUUCCAUUUAGUAUGGUCUGGGGAGGGUAUAUAUACGCAGUCUUACCUCCGCAAGCGAUGAAACUGUUUCCAGCCUUACCUCUUUACUAUUAACAUUCAUUAAAGGAACAACAAAUAAUAAUGAACAAA